CCUACGGGAGACUGCAGUGGGGAAUAUUGGGCAAUGGAGGAAACUCUGACCCAGCAACGCCGCGUGAAUGAUGAAGGCCUUCGGAUUGUAAAGUUCUUUUCUAAGGGAAGAAGAAAGUGACGGUACCGUAGGAAUAAGCCUCGGCUAACUACGAGCCAGCAGCCGCGGUCAUACGGAGGAGGCAAGCGUUAUCCGGAAUGACUGGGCGUAAAGGGUGCGUAGGGGGUUCAGCAAGUUAGUAGCGUAAUUCCGGAGCUCAACUUCGGCACUACCACUGAAACUGUUGGACUUGAGUGCAGGAGGGGUAACUGGAAUUUCUAGUGUAGCGGUGGAAUGCGUAGAUAUUAGGAAGAACCCCGGUGGCGAAGGCGGGUUGCUGGACUGUAACUGACGCUGAGGCACGAAAGCGUGGGGAGCAAACAGGAUUAGAUACCCGGGUAGUC
rnacentral:rRNA from 1 species